GUCUAUGGCCAUAUCACCCUGAACGCACCAGAUCUCAUCGAAUCUCGGAAGCUAAGCAUGGUAGGGCCUGGUUAGUACUUGGAUGGGAUUCCGCUGGGGAAUACCGGGUGCUGUAGGCU
ensembl:rRNA 5S_rRNA 5S ribosomal RNA